CUCCACUCAGGCUUGAGUGUUCUUUUCUUUCUCAAUCCUCACUCCCCAACUCAGGCAUGUUAGUGUAGUGAUGGCUGGACCACCACAAGUGGUGCCCGAACAGGGACCUGAGUAUCGAGGGAUCCAGUGAAGGACACUGCUGGAUAAAGAAUAAAAGGAGAUCUCCACAAAAAGAAAAAAGAGGACCUUCAAAGGGAAGGCAAAAGAGGAGCGGUCCAGCCUUCAGUGGCCCAACUCUGACCACAUCCACCUGCUUACAUGGAGUUAUAGGCUGUAUUCACCCUUCAAGUCAGAGGUCAGUAGCAACAGCACAGACCACAGAAGCCACAAGGUGAGAAACAUU
rnacentral:lncRNA from 1 species